AACGAACGCUGGCGGCAUGCCUAACACAUGCAAGUCGAACGAGACCUUCGGGUCUAGUGGCGCACGGGUGCGUAACGCGUGGGAACCUGCCCUUAGGUUCGGAAUAACUCCCCGAAAGGGGUGCUAAUACCGGAUAAUGUCUUCGGACCAAAGAUUUAUCGCCUUUGGAUGGGCCCGCGUUGGAUUAGCUAGUUGGUAGGGUAAAAGCCUACCAAGGCGACGAUCCAUAGCUGGUCUGAGAGGAUGCUCAGCCACACUGGGACUGAGACACGGCCCAGACUGCUACGGGAGGCAGCAGUGGGGAACAUUAGACAAUGGGCCAGAGCCUGAUCCAGCCAUGCCGCGUGAGUGAUGAAGGCCUUAGGGUUGUAAAGCUCUUUUACCCGGGAUGUUAGUGACAGUACCGGGAGAAUAAGCUCCGGCUAACUCCGUG
rnacentral:rRNA from 1 species